rnacentral:rRNA from 1 species
UACGUAGGGACCGAGCGUUGUCCGGAAUCAUUGGGCGUAAAGAGCGUGUAGGCGGCCACUUAAGUCCUGCGUGAAAUCUUGCGGCUCAACCGCAAGCGGUCGUGGGAAACUGGGUGGCUAGAGUGCGGGAGAGGAGAGUGGAAUUCCUGGUGUAGCGGUGGAAUGCGCAGAUAUCAGGAGGAACACCGGUGGCGAAGGCGGAUCUCUGGGCCUUACCUGACGCUCAGGUGCGAAAGCUAGGGGAGCGAACAGG